GCGGCAACGCAAUGCUCCUCACGUAGGUAUAGUCGCAUGGAAAUGGCUGCCGCCAUUACAUCAGCCCAUAGCUGAGGUUGCAGGUUUGAGCUUUUCAGGGUAACUAGUACGAUUAACUGCAAGUGGAAAAGUGGAAGACUGUUGGCAAUGGAAGCUAUGUAUAUCCAACGUCGAAGAACCGAGCACAGUAAGAACCAUACCUGUUAUGGGGAAGCGUUGCAAUGCUCACACGGAAUGGCUGCCCCGUUAACCUAGCUGAGGUUGCAAGUUUGAGGUUUGAGCUUGUACCCAGAGGGAUGGACAGAUCUGCUGCUCAGGCUAGCGAGGGACACCUGUGUGCUUCAAAGAUAGCUGAGCUCUUCCAGCGUUAAUAAUGGUGUGAAGGGUGG
rnacentral:lncRNA from 1 species